rnacentral:ncRNA from 1 species
GCAAAGUCGUAAGACCAUGUAUGGGGGCUGACGCCUGCCCAGUGCUGGAAGGUUAAGGAAGUUGGUGACCUAAUGACGAGGAAGCCAGCAACCGAAGCCCCGGUGAACGAAGACCGUAACUAUAACGGUCCUAAGGUAGCGAAAUUCCUUGUCGAGUAAGUUUCGACCCGCACGAAAGGCAUAACGAUCUGGGCACUGUCUCAGAGAGAGACUCGGUGAAAUAGACAUGUCUGUGAAGAUGCAAACUACCUGCACCUGGACAGAAAGACCCUAUGAAGCUUUACUGUUCCCUGGGAAUGUCUUUGGGUUCUUCUUGCGCAACUUAGGUGGAAGGCGAAGAAGGCUCCCUCUCGGGGGGGCCUAAGCCACCAGUGAGAUACCACUCUGGAAGAGAUAGAAUUCUAACCUUGUGUCAAGACCUACAGGCCAAGGGACAGUCUCAGGUAGAUAGUUUCGAUGGGGCGUAGGCCUCCCAAAAGGUAACGAAGGCGUGCAAAUGUUUCCUCGGGCCGGACGGAAAUCGGCCCUCGAGUGCAAAGACAGAAGGGAGCUUGACUGCAAGACCCACCCAUCGAGCAGGGACGAAAGUCGGCCUUAGUGAUCCGACGGUGCCGAGUGGAAGGGUCGUCGCUUAACGGAUAAAAGUUACUCUAGGGAUAACAGGUUGAUCUUCCCCAAGAGUUCACAUCGACGGGAAGGUUUGGCACCUCGAUGUCGGCUCUUCACCACCUGGGGUGGUAGUACGUUCCAAGGGUUGGGUAUUUCGCCCAUUAAAGAGGUACGUGAGCUAGGUUCAGAACGUCGUGAGACAGUUCGAUCCAUAUCUGGUAUGGGCGUUAGAGCAUUGAGAGGACCUUUCCCUAGUACGAGAGGACCGGGAAGGACGCACCUCUGGUGUACCAGUUAUCGUUCCCACGGUAGACGUUGGGUAGCCAAGUGUAGAGAGGAUAACUACUGAAAGCAUAUAAGUAGGAAGCCCACCCCAAGAUGAGUGCUCUCCUAUUCUUACUUCCCUUAGAGCCCUAGUCGCAAACACGGCUGGGACAAUGACGGGUUCUCUGUCCUUGCAGGGGAUGGAGCGACAAAAGUAUUGAGAAUCCAAGAUAAGGUCAUGGCGAGAUGAGCCAUUUAUCAUUACGAUAGGUGUCAAGUGGAAGUGCAGUGAUGUAUGCAGCUGAGGCAUCCUAACAGACCGA